rnacentral:rRNA from 3 species
CCGACCUUGAAAUACCACCCUUUAAUGUUUGAUGUUCUAACGUGGAUCCGUAAUCCGGGUUGCGGACAGUGUCUGGUGGGUAGUUUGACUGGGGCGGUCUCCUCCUAAAGAGUAACGGAGGAGCACGAAGGUUGGCUAAUCCUGGUCGGACAUCAGGAGGUUAGUGCAAUGGCAUAAGCCAGCUUGACUGCGAGCGUGACGGCGCGAGCAGGUGCGAAAGCAGGUCAUAGUGAUCCGGUGGUUCUGAAUGGAAGGGCCAUCGCUCAACGGAUAAAAGGUACUCCGGGGAUAACAGGCUGAUACCGCCCAAGAGUUCAUAUCGACGGCGGUGUUUGGCACCUCGAUGUCGGCUCAUCACAUCCUGGGGCUGAAGUAGGUCCCAAGGGUAUGGCUGUUCGCCAUUUAAAGUGGUACGCGAGCUGGGUUUAGAACGUCGUGAGACAGUUCGGUCCCUAUCUGCCGUGGGCGCUGGAGAACUGAGGGGGGCUGCUCCUAGUACGAGAGGACCGGAGUGGACGCAUCACUGGUGUUCGGGUUGUCAUGCCAAUGGCACUGCCCGGUAGCUAAAUGCGGAAGAGAUAAGUGCUGAAAGCAUCUAAGCACGAAACUUGCCCCGA